AUUGAACGCUGGCGGCAGGCCUAACACAUGCAAGUCGAGCGGAUGAAGGGAGCUUGCUCCUGGAUUCAGCGGCGGACGGGUGAGUAAUGCCUAGGAAUCUGCCUGGUAGUGGGGGAUAACGUCCGGAAACGGGCGCUAAUACCGCAUACGUCCUGAGGGAGAAAGUGGGGGAGCUUCGGACCUCACGCUAUCAGAUGAGCCUAGGUCGGAUUGGUUAGUUGGUGGGGUAAAGGCCUACCUAGGCGAGGAUUCGUAACUGGUCUGAGAGGAUGAUUAGGCACAUGAGAACGGGAACAGGGUCCAGACGACUACGGUAGGCAGCAGUGGGGAAUAGUGGACAAUGGGCGAAAGCCUGAUCCAGCCAUGCCGCGUGUGUGAAGAAGGUCUUCGGAUUGUAAAGCACGUUAAGUUGGGAGGAAGGGCAGUAAGUUAAUACCUUGCUGUUUUGACGUUACCAACAGAAUAAGCACCGGCUAACUUCGUG
rnacentral:rRNA from 1 species